rnacentral:rRNA from 1 species
GGGUAGAGUACAAUACUUGAGACCGGCGCACGGGUGCGUAACGCGUAUGCAACCUACCUUUUACAGGGGAAUAGCCCAGAGAAAUUUGGAUUAAUGCCCCAUGGUAUAUUUUAGUGGCAUCACUAGAUUAUUAAAGUUCCAACGGUAAAAGAUGGGCAUGCGUCCUAUUAGCUAGAUGGUAAGGUAACGGCUUACCAUGGCUACGAUAGGUAGGGGUCCUGAGAGGGAGAUCCCCCACACUGGUACUGAGACACGGACCAGACUCCUACGGGAGGCAGCAGUGAGGAAUAUUGGACAAUGGGCGCAAGCCUGAUCCAGCCAUGCCGCGUGCAGGAAGAAGCAUCUAUGGUGUGUAAACUGCUUUUGUACGGGAAGAAACACUCCUACGUGUAGGAGCUUGACGGUACCGUAAGAAUAAGGAUCGGCUAACUCCGUGCCAGCAGCCGCGGUAAUACAGAGGAUCCAAGCGUUAUCCGGAAUCAUUGGGUUUAAAGGGUCCGUAGGCGGUUUGGUAAGUCAGUGGUGAAAGCCCUUCGCUCAACGGAGGAACGGCCAUUGAUACUGCCAGACUUGAAUUACUGGGAAGUAACUAGAAUAUGUAGUGUAGCGGUGAAAUGCUUAGAUAUUACAUGGAAUACCAAUUGCGAAGGCAGGUUACUACCAGUGGAUUGACGCUGAUGGACGAAAGCGUGGGGAGCGAACAGGAUUAGAUACCCUGGUAGUCCACGCCGUANACGAUGGAUACUAGCUGUUGGGAGCAANCUCAGUGGCUAAGCGAAAGUG